GCCUACGGCCACACCACACUGAAUAUGCCCAAUCUUGUCUGGUCUCGGAAGCUAAGCAAGGUCGGGCUCAGUUAGUACUUGGAUGGGAGACUGACUGGACCGCUUAGGAAACCUUGGUGCUGUAGGCU
rnacentral:rRNA from 14 species